CAGCUCUAUCAGAGAUGGGUGUGCAUUGAUGUGCAUUGUGUUGUUAUGGUUGGCUGGAUGAUUUUUAAUGUGCCUUCAUUCUGAUUUUCUGUCUUAAGCAAGUGAAAAUGAGUCUUGGAAGAGAAUGCAGUAGUUGCUGAAGAAAAGAAGUGUGAUAAUAACUUUUUGAGAAGUAAUGGUAGAUAGCUUAGGGAUUUAUAAUUUGGGAAGUUAGUUUUAGAUGCAUAGGUUCUGUUUAUUGUGGAUUCAGUUUUCUAUUUGAGAACUACAUGACAGCUAACUAGGUUAACAUAUAUUUUCAAUCAUUCAACAAAAUAUUAAAAUAUUUGUAUCA